GGGCCGUUAGCUUAGUGGUAGAGCGCCAGUCUUAUAAACUGGAGGUCGAGGGUUCGAUCCCCUCACGGCCCA
rnacentral:tRNA from 1 species